rnacentral:rRNA from 1 species
AACGCUAGCUACAGGCUUAACACAUGCAAGUCGAGGGGCAGCAUGAACUUAGCUUGCUAAGUUUGAUGGCGACCGGCGCACGGGUGAGUAACACGUAUCCAACCUGCCGAUGACUCGGGGAUAGCCUUUCGAAAGAAAGAUUAAUACCCGAUGGCAUAGUUCUUCCGCAUGGUAGAACUAUUAAAGAAUUUCGGUCAUCGAUGGGGAUGCGUUCCAUUAGGUUGUUGGCGGGGUAACGGCCCACCAAGCCUUCGAUGGAUAGGGGUUCUGAGAGGAAGGUCCCCCACAUUGGAACUGAGACACGGUCCAAACUCCUACGGGAGGCAGCAGUGAGGAAUAUUGGUCAAUGGACGAGAGUCUGAACCAGCCAAGUAGCGUGAAGGAUGAAGGUCCUACGGAUUGUAAACUUCUUUUAUAAGGGAGUAAAACCUCCCACGUGUGGGAGCUUGUAUGUACCUUAUGAAUAAGCAUCGGCUAACUCCGUGCCAGCAGCCGCGGUAAUACGGAGGAUGCGAGCGUUAUCCGGAUUUAUUGGGUUUAAAGGGAGCGUAGGCGGAUUGUUAAGUCAGUUGUGAAAGUUUGCGGCUCAACCGUAAAAUUGCAGUUGAUACUGGCAGUCUUGAGUGCAGUAGAGGUGGGCGGAAUUCGUGGUGUAGCGGUGAAAUGCUUAGAUAUCACGAAGAACUCCGAUUG